AGAUGGACAUGUGACCCUCUCUUGGCCAAUCAGAGGCUUUCCUGCUGGAAGGGCUGCUGGAAGCCAUCUUCGCACGGUUCUUCCCUUGGCUUUAGAGCCCCGAAGCGCUCUUUGACUUGAGCUGCUUUGCAUUCUCUCUGUCCUGCCAUCGAGAAAGUUCUGAGCGGCUCAGAAGUAAUACUGACACUAUCAACGGAGGGGGACUGCAGUUUCGCUGGUGGCCCCACAGCCCCCUGCCUCCAGCCAGGGGACAAAGAACAGGAGGGAUCCAGAGCUAUCCCUCCGAGGAAUUCUGCCCCAGACAGCAGAGAGAUGGGGGGCAGGGGACACAUGGCCAUGAGGACAGAGAGCCCUGAGAGGGACUGGGGAAUCGAGACAUCGUUUUCAAAUAAUUGCAGCAAUCAAGAGAGACUGUACAUCCCAUCCCAGACAAAGGGAGACCUGCUGUUGAAAAAUGUGCUCUUUCCUCAUCAGAAAAUGAGAGAAUGGAGCUGGGCGCAGUGGUUCACGCCUGUAAUCCCUGCACUUUGGGAGGCCGAGGCAGGCAAAUCACCUGAGGUCAGGAGUUCCAGACCGGCUGGGCAACAUGGUGAAACCCUGUCUCUACUAAAAAUAUGAAAAAAAGUUAGCCAGGCGUCCGCGUGCCUGUAAUUCCAGCUACUCAGGAGACUGAGGCAGGAGAAUCGCUUGAACCUGGGAGGCAGAGGUUGCAGUGAGCCGAGAUCACGCCACUGCACUCCAGCCUGGGCGAUAAGAGUGAAACUCUGUCUCAAAAUAAAUAAAUAAAUAAAUAAAUAAAUAAUCUUAAAAAAAAUAAAAAGAAAACUAGAGAAUGAUGACUUCUGUUUACCAUGUGCCUGGUUUCCUGUCCUGUCUGUGAUCCUGUUGCUGUUUGCUGUCAACUGUUCCUGCUUCAGUGAUAUUAGAAGGGUUCAAGGAGAAUGUGGGUCCCCUCCUUGCCUGCUCUGGGCCUUCCCCUGUUUCUGGCCUGUUUCAUCUCCACCCCCGUUGGAUCUGAGCUCCUUGAGGGUGGCCCCUACACCCUGCAGUGCUGAGCAUUGGGAGGUGUGAGGGUUGCUGAAGGCUGGGGGUUGGUGCUUUUCUUCAUUCAGCAGUCAUCAUUUAUUGAGCACCCACUGUUUGCCAGCUCCUUGGCUAAGCAUUUCAAGCCCUGUUCCAUGGGCUCAGUCUUCCAGGGGCUGGCCGCUAACUACGCAUCGAUUGAUUUCCAGAAGGACAGAAGCACAUAGCAGGGCCUGGUCUCCACUGGGGGUGCCAGGAGCUG
rnacentral:lncRNA from 10 species